GGACCUGUGGUGUAGUUGGAAGCACAUUCAGUUUGUUGAUUACUAACUGAAAGGUUACAGUUCGAAUCUGUAUCCGUCCA